rnacentral:SRP_RNA from 1 species
GUCCUCCGCCAGCAGUCUUCCACUGUCCAGGUGUGUAUGUUCGUCAACGAUACCACU